CUCAGGAGACGGGCCCGCACCUCUCUCUUCUGGAUCAGAUAGAGAGAGAGAGGAUUUGGCGUCUUCUCUCUAAAAAAAAAAAGAAAAAAAUGUUAAGGAUUUUAUAAGUUGGCGGAUUUCGUGAAGGGUUUGGAUAGAGUCUCGAAGAAUUAGAAGAUGAAGAUUGACGAAAAGAAUUGAAGUUUUAUGAUCAAAGACCCUUGAGAACUCAGGUAUGAUUAGAAACAAUUUGUGGUGAAGUUUUCAUCAAGUCUUCGGUGAGGAUGUUUGAUGUGGACACGCGAUGUUCGUCCUAUGAGCAUAGUCUGGGUGUGAUUAGUGAAACUACUUUCAUCAAGUCUUCGGUGCAGCUUCAGUCACAGCGUUCUCCUCCACGACGUUCGUCUCAGCAGCGUUCCACUCCACCUCCUGGUCCUUCUCGCCCUUCGGCAGAGGUGUCUGAGGAAGAAAUGUCCGUCUCUUCUGUUUAUCGGGAACAACAAAGGUUAUCUCUCGAGCAAGAACGCAUCUCGGGCGAACUUCGACGGAUUUCUGAGGAUCAAGCUCGCAU
rnacentral:lncRNA from 1 species